CAUGGCUCAGGACGAACGCUGGCGGCGUGCCUAAUACAUGCAAGUAGAACGCUGAAGGAGGAGCUUGCUCUUCUGGAUGAGUUGCGAACGGGUGAGUAACGCGUAGGUAACCUGCCUGGUAGCGGGGGAUAACUAUUGGAAACGAUAGCUAAUACCGCAUAACAACAGUUGUUGCAUGACAGCUGUUUAAAAGGUGCAAUUGCAUCACUACCAGAUGGACCUGCGUUGUAUUAGCUAGUUGGUGGGGUAACGGCUCACCAAGGCAACGAUACAUAGCCGACCUGAGAGGGUGAUCGGCCACACUGGGACUGAGACACGGCCCAGACUCCUACGG
rnacentral:rRNA from 1 species